rnacentral:rRNA from 1 species
CCUCGGUGAGGGCUCCAGCUUGUCUGAAUUAUUCACCCAUGUCUUUUGCGCACUUCUUGUUUCCUGGGCGGGUUCGCCCGCCACCAGGACCAAACCAUAAACCUUUUUGUAAUUGCAAUCAGCGUCAGUAAACAAUGUAAUUAUUACAACUUUCAACAACGGAUCUCUUGGUUCUGGCAUCGAUGAAGAACGCAGCGAAAUGCGAUACGUAGUGUGAAUUGCAGAAUUCAGUGAAUCAUCGAAUCUUUGAACGCACAUUGCGCCCUUUGGUAUUCCAAAGGGCAUGCCUGUUCGAGCGUCAUUUGUACCCUCAAGCUUUGCUUGGUGUUGGGCGUCUUUGUCUCUCACGAGACUCGCCUUAAAAUGAUUGGCAGCCGACCUACUGGUUUCGGAGCGCAGCACAAUUCUUGCACUUUGAAUCAGCCUUGGUUGAGCAUCCAUCAAGACCACAUUUUUUUCAACUUUUGACCUCGGAUCAGGUAGGGAUACCCGCUGAACUUAAGCAUAUCAAUAAGC